rnacentral:rRNA from 1 species
CCCUUAGAUGUUCUGGGCCGCACGCGCGCUACACUGACGAUGGCAACGAGUUUUUCCUUCGCCGAAAGGUGUGGGUAAUCUUUUGAAACAUCGUCGUGCUGGGGAUAGAUCAUUGCAAUUUUUGAUCUUGAACGAGGAAUUCCUAGUAAGCGCGAGUCAUCAGCUCGCGUUGAUUACGUCCCUGCCCUUUGUACACACCGCCCGUCGCUACUACCGAUUGAAUGGUUUAGUGAGGACACCUGAUUGGCGCCGCCGCCCCGGCAACGGAGCAGCGGACUGCCGAAAAGUUGUUCAAACUUGAUCAUUUAGAGGAAGUAAAAGUCGUAACA